rnacentral:lncRNA from 1 species
UGCAUUAAUAGACUGUUAUAAUUGAUUUCAUUUUCUUGGUAUAGGCCGAAGGUGAUGAAGAUAUAGCUUCAGAUCUUGCUAGCUAGGGUAGUCAAUAGUGAAAGAACUCUGACCGAAGAGUGCGGAAAUCUCUUAUCUGAAGUGCAUAAUUUGCAGGUGUGUGACUCCUAACUUCACCUCAAAUUUGUCCUUUCCUUCAUUUUUAUUUCCUCUUCUACUUAUUCUGAAUCAUUGGACGAAAAGAAAUAUUGAUCAAUAUGCUAUUGCUUUUUGUUCCCCACAGGUGAAGGAAUGCAGCUUAAGAAGCCAAUUAAUGCAACUCAAGCAACGCAAUGUAAUGUAAA